rnacentral:lncRNA from 1 species
GCUGGGGACACCUCACAAUCAUGGCGGAGGGUAAAACGCAUGCCUUACGUGGCAGCAGGCAAGAGAGAAUGAGAACCAAGCAAAAGCGGAAACCCUUUAUAAAAGCAUCAUAUCUCUCUGUAUACCUUUUACUUCCUUUUUCCCCCUUAUUCAGGUGGGCCUGGUGACUUCAGUUUAGGAAGGUUAUAAAUUAUUGAUUCAAUUUCUUUAAUAGAUAUAGGCUUAUUCAGAUUGUUUAUUUGUUCUUGUAAGAGUUUGGUGGAUUGUAUCUUUUAAGGGAUUUGUAAUGGAGAACAAAAAAAGGCAGGGGUUGCAAUCCUAGUCUCUGAUAAAACAGACUUUAAGCCAACAAAGAUCAAAAGAGACAAAGAAGGCCAUUACAUAAUGGUAAAGGGAUCAAUUCAACAAGAAGAGCUAACUAUCCUAAAUAUAUAUGCACCCAAUACAGGAGCACCCAGAUUCAUAAAGCAAGUCCUGAGUGACCUACAAAGAGACUUAGACUCCCACACAAUAAUAAUGGAAGACUUUAACACCCCACUGUCAACAUUAGACAGAUCAAUGAGACAGAAAGUUAACAAGGAUACCCAGGAAUUGAACUCAGCUCUGCACCAAGCAGACCUAACGGACAUCUACAGAACUCUCCACCCCAAAUCAACAGAAUAUACAUUUUUUUCAGCACCACACCACACCUAUUCCAAAAUUGACCACAUAGUUGGAAGUAAAGCUCUCCUCAGCAAAUGUAAAAGAUCAGAAAUUAUAACAAACUGUCUGUCAGACCACAGUGCAAUCAAACUAGAACUCAGAAUUAAGAAACUCACUCAAAACCGCUCAACUACAUGGCAACUGAACAACCUGCUCCUGAAUGACUACUGGGUACAUAACGAAAUGAAGGCAGAAAUAAAGAUGUUCUUUGAAACCAAUGAGAACAAAGACACAACAUACCAGAAUCUCUGGGACACAUUCAAAGCCGUGUGUAGAGGGAAAUUUAUAGCACUAAAUGACCACGAGAGAAAGCAGGAAAGAUCCAAAAUUGACACCCUAACAUCACAAUUAAAAGAACUAG